rnacentral:lncRNA from 1 species
CCUUUCCCGCAUGAAUUCUUGACAACUUUCAAGAUCCAGAUGGGAAGAGGGCAGUGCUAUAGGAGGGGAGACCACUGGUGACAUGCCAGGUAUUUAAUAAAACUCAAACAAAUUGAUGAGUGAAUAAGACAAGAUGAAUCAAAGAAUGAAGAAUUAAAGUCAUGGAACAAAACACACAGGCGUCCUGAACACUGACAGCUGGUCUUGAACUUGGCACAUGAGUCAGCAUUGUUGAAUGAAUCCAGAAGCUCUGGAAGCCUCCUUUUAGCCAGGCACCCCCUGGCCCGGACUGACACAUAAAAUCAACCACCACUAUAGCCAGGCCAGCCUCAGGAUAAGUGUCUUUCCCAGUUUCAUAUAUAGAAGACGAAUUAAAUAUGAACUGAAUGACGGAUUUUGUGGAGACUGUCCAGGCGGAUCCAAAACCAAGCAGAAGCGCUCAGAAGCACCCUUGUCAGAACACUGGGAGAGAGAGACGUUGACAGCCACCAACCGAAUGCUGAACGAAGGCGGAGGAAACUGGAAAAUGGUAGGAAAGCCUUGUUGUAUUUUCACCCGCUCCUGCCCGGUCCCCUUCCUGGCCUGGCAGCCCCAUUCCCAGUGUGGGAGCAGGGUCCCCGGCUCAGGACGGUGCACGGCCGACCUCACUUGCCAAUUAUUAGGUAUGUCCACUCUCGCCUAUCUAGGGCCUCUCCAGAGGGCUGACACAAGACCGUUUGCCUGACUCAGAACGCAGGCCAGAAAAGCAGGGUGCCCUGCUGGGAGAAAAAGCAGCAAGGGAGGUCACCACCCAUAGGUGCUGGUGGCACAGACGCCAGAGGCAGAUUUCCCGUAAGCCGCCGAAGGCCUAGAGGAAAGCUGGGGGAGGUUCUUCAGGGGAAUUAGGACAUCCAGAAGCACCCUCGUGUAAAGGGGAAUUUGGAAAGCCACACGCAUGAUCAGGGCAAGACACACGCUCCGAGUAGAGCAGGGAAACCCUGAGUUUUCCCCUUGGCCUGGUCCCUGGGCUUCGUGUAAGCCUGUAAGUGUGGAAACAGCGACAACGUCCCUCUCUAGUGAUGCUUAGGAUUUUUUUGUCCUUAGUCUGUUUCCUAAUUCAGCUAAAAUAUUUAGCUGAAUCCAAAAUUAAAUCCACAAAACAAGUGUCUAUAUUAAAAGAAAUCUAGCUUCUAUCUCUGUACUUCCUACCACAUGUCCUCCUUGUUUUAACCACUUUUUCCAAAAAAAAAAUGUCGUUUAUCUUACCAUAUAGGUUUGUUGUCAGUUUCUCCAUUUCCAACCCAGAGGACACAAUGCAUGCUUUUCUCCAUCUUUCUUCUUUUCAUUCUGUAAUACUUCUUUGAAAUAAUUCCAUAGUAGUAGAUCCGUAUUGAUAGCUGUAUGGUACUCCAUUGGGUACCACAAUUUAUUCUAACCCGCCCCCUAUAGAAGAAUAUUGGAAUUGUUUUUCCGUCUGUUUUUUACUAUAAAAUAUCCUGCAGUGAUAUCAGUUUGUUGAUUGUAACCAAUGUGCAAUAAAAGCCAUUGAUAAAGGGAAGAGUGUGUGAAGCCCUUGGGACCCAUCUGUACUGUCUCUGCAAUUCUGCAAAUCUAAAUCUGUUAGCACAUUUUUAAAGUUUCUUUAAAAAUAAGAAAAAUAGGAGUUCCCGUGGAGGUGCAGCAGAAACGAAUCCGAUUAGGAAUGAGGAGGUUUCGGGUUCGAUCCCUGGCCUCGCUCAGUGGGAUAAAGAUCUGGUGUUGCUGUGAGCUGUGGUGUAGGUCACAGAUGUGGCUCAUAUCCCUCGGUGCUGUGGCUUUGGCAUAGGCCAGUAGCUAUAGCUCCGAUUCAACCCCUACAGAACUUCCAUAUGCCUCGGGUGUGGCCCUAAAAAGACAAAAUUAAAAACAAACAAACAAACAAAAAGCAGAUGACAUUAAUGGCGUCUUUUUUCAGGUCACUGAAGUGAACACUUCUUGCAUAUAAUGUGUUAUUUUUGAUGUGCUCCUUGCUACUGUUUGCUGAUAUUUAAGAUUUUUCACUGACGCACAGCAGAUUGGUUUGCAGUUUUCUUUCUCAGUGCAGUCUUUGACAUGUCUUUGGAAUCAGUGUUCCGUUUUCCUCUUUCUCUAUCCUCUGGAGUCGUUUUAAGUAGAACGGGGACUUUUCUAUUCUUUAACGGUGAGCUAGAAUGUCCCUGGGACCUUUUGGGGCGUGUGCUUCUUCACUCCUCAUAGUUCAUCUUCCAUAACAGUUGAAGACUGUUUAAACUUUCUGCCUCAACUGGAGACUAUUUUGGCAAGCUGUAAUUCUCAAAACCAAACAUUUCCUCUCGCAGUGUGUCUCUCUCCUCACCUAAGCUGGAAGCUCUUGGAGGGCAUAUUCCAAUAACAAUUUUAGGGUACCCAUCUGGUGUCCGACAAGUCAGUUCAAUUCCAGCAAUAAUAAUAUAUUAUAUAAACCACCUGGAGUUAGACAGACCCCACCAGUAAAGGCGCUCAGUCUUAUAAUACCGCCUCCACUGCAGAUGCCAGCUCCAAGUCAGGUCCUCAGGUCUACCUGAAAUUCUGACCAACUGCCUUUCCUGCAGCAUCCGCAGGUUCUGUAACUCCCCUUCAGUUCUGGUAUUUUUCUAGAACUACUCACAGAAUUCCUUGAAAGCACUACACUUAUUGGUACUGUUCUGUUCUAAAGAAUAUGCCCACAUGAAAGAUGGAGCUGGGCUCAGAACUUCCGUGCCUUCUGCAGGCGCCGCUACCCCCUCCCCCAGCAGCACACCCAUGCCCACACCCCGGAAGCUCUGCCAGCCUCCUCCUUACAGCGUUUUUAUCUGGACGUGCCUUACGGAGGCUCAGUUGCAUCGCCGGCCACAGGAUUAAAUACCAUCUCUCAGGAAACUCUCUGGGUGUCAGGAGCUCUGUGCCAAGAACUUGGGACAAAGACCAGGAACCUUUAUUUUAUGAGACCCCUGGGAGAAUACUGUGCAUUUCUUCAGUGCCCCGCUCGAGUUAUGCCUAGGUGUAGGUAGGUGUACAAUCUUUAUCUAUUAAGUUAUUGGAUACAAGAGUGACUGAACUGUAUUUGUUCCAGUUAGUAAGGCUGUUCUUUCUUUCGGGAAGGAAAGCCAACCUGGCCUCUGGGCCUGUUACUUGGUAAUGCUAAUGCGUUACAUUCCCUUCAGCCCCCCCCACCCCCACCCCCCGCCCUGAAAGUGCCGGCUGCCCAAAGCCUUGCAGUCCAAAGACCUGAAAUCCUGAUUUUAAAAAUGCCAGUGUGAUCUUUUGAUCAAAGCUUUCCUUGUAGGGUAUCAAGUCUCCCCUUACCUGAAUGCAUGAAUCUUGAGUUGCCUCAAGUAGGAGAACCUCUGAGAGAUGGUCCAAACAUCAGUUUUCUUCGUUGCUUUUUUAAUGACACAGGUACAUUUUGAGAGUUUUUAAUUGCAUUUCCCCUAAAGGUUGUAAAGUGUGUGUGUGUGUGUGUGUGUGUGUGUGUGUGUGUGUGUGUGUGUGUGUGUUUAAUCUCUCACACAUCCUGGUGGGAAACGUUCAAGUGCUCAGAUGGAACUACUUGAGACUAGCAACCAAUUGAACUUGACAGUCAUACCUGAUACUCUGUUCAUCCUCAACAUUUUAAUCAUCUGGAUUUUGUAAUUCUGUUGUGUUUUGUAGGAAAGCAACUGUGUUAUGUGAGAGAUGAAACUUUGCAGUUUUCUCAUGUUUAAUUUUUUUUAGGUCUGUCCUGGAGAAUUUUUCCAGCUGGAUGACUAAUGCAGAGGGAUUUUUCUCUUCCAUUGCUAUCAUCCCUUAUGUGAAUUAUUAAUAUAUGUUUUUAUUUAUAAUUCAUUACCUUUAAAACAGAGUCAUGGAUGAGCAAAGACCCAGCUGCACUUGGGCUCAUCAAAUGUCCUUAACUGUUUUUUGGAGUUUGAGCGUUUUCCCAACAUGUUUCCACGAACAUUCUCCCCUUAUUUACAAUCCCUUGUGUGUCUAAGGGAAAUGGAAGCCUUAUGUUUCUUUUUCACUUAUACUUAACUCAUCAGAAUGUUUUGCAAAGCAAUUUAAAUGUCCAAGAAGAUUUUUAUUACUGAUUUUCUUAGAAACAUAAAGUCUUAUUUUGCCAAUGGUAGAAGAGAAAAAAACCUAUAUGUGAACCCAAGGACUAAUGUUUGCUUCAGAACUUAAAACCGAUAAAAGUUUGAGUGGGUUUUGAACUUGGCAAUUC